GCCGACUUAGCUCAAUUGGUAGAGCAACUGAUUUGUAAUCAGUAGGUUGGGGGUUCAAUUCCUCUAGUCGGCACCA
rnacentral:tRNA from 1 species